UGCAGGUCUACAAAAUGAUACAACAUUUGAGUUUCCAAUAACUCCCUGGGGCCUGCAACGACUGCUGGAAUAUGUCAAGCAAAACUAUGGAAAUCCUCCAAUAUAUAUCCAAGAAAAUGGUCAACGAACUCGACGCAAUUCAUCAUUAGAGGAUUGGCCAAGGGUGAAAUAUUUGGACGGACACAUCCAAAAUUUGCUUGAAGCUGUAAGGAAUGGAUCAAACGUCAGAGGCUAUUUUAUAUGGUCCUUCUUGGAUUCCCUUGAGCUGUUGGACGGCUAUGAAUCGGGCUACGGCCUCUACUACAUCGAUUUGGAUGACCCCGAUUUAAGAAGACAACCGAAACUCUCUGCUUACUGGUACUCCCAGUUUUUAAAGAGAAAGAACGUCAUCAGCUUAGACGGGUUUAUUAAAUCCCUUUCCCAUGAUCGCGUUCAGUAGAUUUCACUAUACAUUGUUAAAUUAAUACCGAUGGAGUGUAAAGAAAGAUGCAUGUUUUUACUCCCCCUAGAAAUUCUGUCUAUGUACUUGAAAAAUUCUAGUAAAAUAAACAAGUAAAGAUGAAUAUCCAAUAUGUUUUUUUGUU